rnacentral:rRNA from 1 species
GACGAGUCUCACAAACGUUAUUCGGAAUUACUGGGCUUAAAGGGUGCGUAGGCGGUGGAGUAAGUCUGAUGUGAAAUACCUUAGCUUAACUAGGGAACUGCACUCGAUACUACUUUGCUAGAGUAAGACAGAGGUGAGUGGAACUGAGGGUGGAGCGGUGAAAUGCGUUGAUAUCCUCAGGAACACCGGUGGCGAAGGCGACUCACUGGGUCUUUACUGACGCUGAUGCACGAAAGCUAGGGUAGCAAACGGG